GGCUUCCAGAACACGGCCACACAGCCCGGAAGACCCACACCAGCCAUCAAAGAGGGCUCUUUGCCUAUCCAGGACAGCAGUUCAGAAGCUGGUCCAUUCCAGAUUAUGCAGCCCAAGACAUCUGAAAGAAACCAGUCUGGGACAAGCUGAUCUAGCUCAAUGUUAUUUACUUUGAAUGAGAGAAGACUUUGACCUGAAUUCUAUCAAGAAAGUCAAAUUGAACCUGUUGUCCUCUAGAGGGACUGGACUUCAUAUCCCAUCAGCAAUGUAGGCUAACAGUUCUGAAGGGAUCAGGUCUGAGAACAAUAGGAUCAGGGUGGAGAAGCUGUGGCCAUUCAGAUGUUCCUCAAUUUCCUGCAGGUUCAGUUCCAAGACUGUGGUGAGGAUACUGAGAAUUACUCUUAAGCAACAUCUGAAGGACAUGGGAUUCCCAUCUCGGCUGACAUUCAACAGUUGUUGUAAACAGAUACUAGGGGCUUAAACAUUAGGUGAUUGUCAACGUCUGUGCACAAGUCACAAGAUUUGGUUUGGUGCCUGAUCCAGUAAUUUGGAAAAUGCAUUCCAUUGACCAGAGCAAGAUUUGUGCUUCCCAUCCUCAAGCCUGAAAUCUUGUGCUUCCCAUCUCCUUCAUAAGAUUAUAUAACCUUUUCUGGGUUUCUGAAAAACAGAACUGCAGAACAUUUUUCUGAGGGGAUGAACACUGCCAGUUUUUAGAGAAGCAGAUUAAUGAGGUUUGGAGCUACACUCCUUAUGCAUGCAUGCACCUGAUCCUGAUGAAGAACCUCUCUGGCUGAGAAACUAUCAACUGCAGAGACAUCUUAACAUGUGUUCUAGAAGAAGUACAUACUUGGCCUGGAGGGUUUAGAAGUUGUGAAUGUAUCUUACAAUGUAUGCCGAAUGCUCUUGUGGCUGAGAACUGUAGGGUAAGGUCAGUAAUGAAGAAUGAUGUCCAACCUGACUUUCGGAAAAGCUGUUCAACUAUUCUAAUAUUUGAAUUAGGGAAUGUUUGGAAAAUUUCCAUGAAACCCAGCAUUCUUGGGAAUUCAGUCUGACAAAUCAUUAGAAAAAUACAAUAGAACUGGAUUCUGUAAUUUAAAAAACUAUAUUUAAGUUGGACCAUGAAGAAAUGUAUAUGCUUGCUUAGUAUUUAACAUGUUUUCAUAUUAUCUUUCCUUUUUAUGUUCCUUCUAGCUUAUUUGAAUGUUAAUGUUUUCAGCAUUAAGAUUGAAUGUCCAACAGAUAAACAAAGGGGCAAUAAAAAAAAUAAGAUGAGGUCAUAGCCAGUCUGUUCAUACAGACAGGUCUAAGAUACCGGUCAGUAGUGGGUAAAUCAUAAACUGGUAAUAAUAGGCUUGGACCGGUUGAGUCAAAAACAAAAGACUCCACUAUCUGUGGGUGGUCACUCUCUGGAUGAAAUGUCAUGCUAAAAUAUUUGCAAUGGAAGGCAAAGUGCAGGUAACUAGCAUGCAGUCCAAGUUUGAUACCCUCUAGGGGCCCAAAAGGUGAUAUACCCUAUUCCAUUGGCAUAGAUCCAUUAAGAAUCUUUAAGUCAAAUUUUGUUGCCAAUAAGAAAGGUUUCCAACCCCCAGAAUCCUUAGAUAUUAGAAAAACCUGGGAUGUUGUGAUGCUGCAAGACAGCAGCACAUGGUGCUUUAUGGUACUCAGCUAUGUAUUUAUAAAAAGUCUCCUAGUUUAGAAGUAAUUCAGUCAAAAUUCUUGAAAAUCUUGUUCCUUAUUCAACUUCUAACAUCCAAACAAAACUGGAAUUAGGCUGCAUUUUCCUUGGGGCCCUGAUCCUGACAGGACUUUGCUAUCUUAGUGUCUAGCUGAAGCAAGUCUAUUGGGGAACUUCCUUAGUCCAUAUCUCCUUGUUAGAUAGAUUCUCUUCCACCCUAAGAGAACAAAUUAAUGAUGAUUUGGCAUACUGUGAUCUCACCUUGUCAGCACUAUCUGCUUUGGGACUUGAUAGAACCCUGGCUAAACUGAAGCAGAGGAUUUAGGAUCUAGAUAUCCAAAAUGACAAAGCCAAAAUGUCUCAUCCCUUUCAUAGCACAAUUGUUUCUCCUCCCUGGACUGUCCCUAGAUACUUUUUUAAUAUCUUAUAUGCUCCACAUAGAAGACUAUUUACUUUGGCCUGAAUUGGAACACUACCUAUUAGGGCAACAACUGGUAGACAUAUAAGCCUCCCACAUGAAAGCCGAACUUGUUUCUGUUCAGACUUGGAAGUAGAAUUUGUCUCACAUGUGCCAUUAAAUGUCUCUUGUACACCCUAUGGCGAUCACGUUUAAUACUUUCAAUUGUUAACAACUCUAAUUGCCAUCGCAAUCAGGAGGCCAUUUCAUUUCUCCUGGGUGACCACUCUUCAGAAACUCUAAGAAGGUUGCAAAAUUCUUCUCAAUAACUUUAGCUGUUAGAAGCUGUCUUCAUAUUAUUAAUUGUAAGCUGCUAAUUGUUUUAGGAUUUUCUCGCUAUUUUUAAAAUUCAUUUUUACACUUACUGUGUUGUAUUGCUGGUAUUUUUCUUAUGUUUGGUUUUUGACCAUAAAUAAUUUGAUUGAUUGGUUGAUUGAUUGAUUGAUUGAUU